CGUUUUUUGAAACCCUGAUCCAGAAAACCAUUCGCGAAGAAUUCAAAACUUGCACGAUGCUGAUUAUUGCUCACAGACUAAAUACCAUCAUAGACUGCGACCAGAUUCUUGUGCUUGAUGCUGGUCAGGUUCAGAGCACAAUACUCCAGAGGAACUGCUAGCUAAUGAAGAAAGUGCAUUCUCUAGAAUGGUUCAAAGCACAGGGCCUGCAAAUGCUGAAUACUUACGUAGCUCAGUUUUUGGAGGUGAGGAGAACAGGUUGAGUGGAGAACAUGCCACACGGUUAGAUGGUCGGAUGAGAUGGCAGGCGUCAUCCCGCUGGGCUGCUGCUGCACAAUUUGCCAUAGCUGUUAGCCUCACUUCAUCACUGAAUGAUCUCCAAAGGUUUGAUGUUGGAGAUACAGGCAAUAUCCUCGAGAAAACCGAAGAUGCAGUUAUAACUCUGCAGGGUGUUUUUGGAGGGAAAGAAAUGAUGAAGUUAUAGAUGAUAUGCUUCAGCAGCACCAAGUUCCCAGAGAUAGAUGGUGGCCUGCUCUUUACAGAAUAAUUGAAGCUCUUGCUGCAAUGAGCAGGUUAGGUCAACAUAACAGGCUUCAACAAUUAGAGUUGGGGUUUGAAGACGGAUCCAUGGAUUGGGACGAGAUUGGAACAUAAUAAAGCCAAUCACUGCAGACAGGAGUUGGGAUCUGCAUCCUCAUCACUGAUAUUAAAUUGCUGAUUUCAUAUCUGCUACUCCCACUUGUAUAACUAAUCAUCAGCACAGCUUAAAUUGUAUUCCAAAUGUGAAGCAAAGUACAUCAAAUUCCUGUGAA